AUCACUGAGCGCAAUACUCCUACUUAUGUGUCAGCCGUAGAAAUUAAAGGGCUCUAAAAACGCUGCGUCUGCACGCUCGCUCGAGGCGCCCGGCGCGUGUUUUCCAUGUGAAAAAGGUGCGUGGACGCUGCCGGGCGCGUGUCCAGCCGGCCCGGCGGGCUCGGGUUCGGCGAUGUCUCGGAACCGGAACCAUCAACAACAGGGAACUGGAUACGGUUUCACAAACUCGGACAAGGGAGCGCAAGAAUGAGGAUUAGUGCGACGCAUCUGCUCGCAAGCAGUUGAUUAAAACGUAGUACACCGAGCAGCAGUUCACUGUCCUCGGCUCCCUCCGUCUCUCUCUGCACAGCUCUGCCGAUGUGUCUCCCUGGCUGACGGACGAUGGAUAUCAGGCAGGACGUGGUUCAGGUCGGAGAAAAUAAGUUCAUC